UACGUAGGGGGCUAGCGUUGUCCGGAUUUAUUGGGCGUAAAGAGCGUGUAGGCGGCCAGGUAGGUCUGGUGUGAAAACUCGAGGCUUAACCUCGAGAUGUCAUCGGAAACCAUUUGGCUAGAGUCCGGAAGAGGAGAGUGGAAUUCCUGGUGUAGCGGUGAAAUGCGCAGAUAUCAGGAAGAACACCGAUGGCGAAGGCAGGUCACUGGGCCGCAACUGACGCUGAGGAGCGAAAGCAUGGGGAGCGAACAGG
rnacentral:rRNA from 1 species